rnacentral:lncRNA from 1 species
CUCGCAUUACUUGUAAUUAGUUUAUGUCUUUUAAUUCAUUGAGAAGUAACAAGCAUGUAUGGAUGUCCAUUGUACAGGCCCAUUUUGACCUAAUCCAUUACAACCCAUAACCCAAGCAAAAACAAAACCUACCCAGGCCCAACUAAGCCUAACCCACCAAAACCAAAGCCCAAAUCAGCAACCCAAUUCAGCCCAAUCUACCUAACCCUAGCCAAUUUGUAGAAAAAAGAAACAGCAGCCACCCUAGGUGCGCCGCACCUAGGGCCUUCGUCCACCUACCCCCUGCCACCGCCUCUGACCAGCGCCGCACCUGCUCUCUGCCAUCGCCCAACUGCACCUGCAAGAAGAGAAACCAACACGCAACAACAAAUAGUAGACAUAGAUAAAAAAAAUGUUAAAAUCGGCUAUAAAAGCCGAAACCAGAGGAAUGUAAAGGGUUCGGCCCCUCUUUGACGAUUAAAAGAAAUAAAAGUUUUUUGAAAAUCUUAAAGGUGACUACUACCUUUUUAGAUCUGUUUUUUUUUGUUCUUUUAAAUAUUAUUUUUGUUUUUAAAUACAAACAAAUUAAAAAUAAGAAUAAAGGAGAAGGCUUUUUACCUUACCUGCGCCGCGACGGAGGUGGAGGAAGGCGAACGGUUUCGCCCCAUUUUUUGGGUCUUCGGCUUUCUAUUCAGGAGAUUCAGCCCCGGAUCUGUGGCCUGGAGGCCAUGGACUUCAAAAAAGGACGAAAAAGGUCCGAUUUUGAACCUCCGGCGGCCACACACGGUGGCUCUGCGGCGGAGACUCGUCGGAAAUCUCGAGCCGGACCAUGGCCGGACCUGAGAGAAAAAGAGAGAGUUUUCUCUCUGUUUUUU